GUGAGGAAUAUUGGUCAAUGGACGAGAGUCUGAACCAGCCAAGUCGCGUGAAGGAAGAAGGUUCUAUGGAUUGUAAACUUCUUUUGUAAGGGAAUAAAAAAGAGUACGUGUACUCUAUUGUAUGUACUUUACGAAUAAGGAUCGGCUAACUCCGUGCCAGCAGCCGCGGUAAUACGGAGGAUCCGAGCGUUAUCCGGAUUUAUUGGGUUUAAAGGGUGCGUAGGCGGACUUAUAAGUCAGCGGUGAAAGUUUGCAGCUUAACUGUAAAAUUGCCGUUGAAACUGUUAGUCUUGAGUGUAAAUGAGGUAGGCGGAAUGUGUUGUGUAGCGGUGAAAUGCUUAGAUAUAACACAGAACACCAAUUGCGAAGGCAGCUUACUGGGAUACAACUGACGCUGAGGCACGAAAGCGUGGGGAUCAAACAGGAUUAGAAACCCUGGUAGUCC
rnacentral:rRNA from 1 species